UCUUCUCAACCCACCUGUCUUUUUUGUUAAAGGCAGCUGGGCUUGGACUUGGAGGUUUUGCAGGCGUCCGAAUUUUUAAUUCGGAAGUUGGCUCCUCUGAAAUGCAUUAGCUUGAAUAGAACCAAGCAUGAUUCAGCGUGAUAAUUGUCUACGUUGCUUCAUCUCGGUGAAUUUAAUGUUCGAGCUUCUAACCGUCCCUUGGGACAAUCUCUGAAC
rnacentral:misc_RNA from 1 species